GGGUCCAUGGCGCAGCCCGGUAGCGCACCUGCAUGGCAUGCAGGGGGUCAGGGGUUCGAAUCCCCUUGGAUCCACCA
rnacentral:tRNA from 19 species